rnacentral:tRNA from 2 species
AUUUAUCUAAUAUAUAAGUAUAUUUGACUUCCAAUCAAAAAGUUUGUUAAAAACAAGAUAAAUA